GUACACUCCUGCGGGAGGCAGCAGUGGGGAAUUUUGGACAAUGGGCGAAAGCCUGAUCCAGCAAUGCCGCGUGUGUGAAGAAGGCCUUCGGGUUGUAAAGCACUUUUGUCCGGAAAGAAAUCCUUGGCUCUAAUACAGUCGGGGGAUGACGGUACCGGAAGAAUAAGCGCCGGCUAACUACGUGCCAGCAGCCGCGGUAAUACGUAGGGUGCGAGCGUUAAUCGGAAUUACUGGGCGUAAAGCGUGCGCAGGCGGUUUGCUAAGACCGAUGUGAAAUCCCCGGGCUCAACCUGGGAACUGCAUUGGUGACUGGCAGGCUAGAGUAUGGCAGAGGGGGGUAGAAUUCCACGUGUAGCAGUGAAAUGCGUAGAGAUGUGGAGGAAUACCGAUGGCGAAGGCAGCCCCCUGGGCCAAUACUGACGCUCAUGCACGAAAGCGUGGGGAGCAAACAGGAUUAGAAACCCGUGUAGUCCCAUGAU
rnacentral:rRNA from 1 species